rnacentral:rRNA from 1 species
CCUACGGGGGGCAGCAGUGGGGAAUAUUGGACAAUGGGGGGAACCCUGAUCCAGCGACGCCGCGUGAGUGAAGAAGUAUUUCGGUAUGUAAAGCUCUAUCAGCAGGGAAGAAAGAAAUGACGGUACCUGACUAAGAAGCCCCGGCUAACUACGUGCCAGCAGGCGCGGGAAUACGUAGGGGGCAAGCGUUAGCCGGAUUUACUGGGUGUAAAGGGAGCGUAGACGGCGAUGCAAGUAUGAAGUGAAAGGCGGGGGCCCAACCUCCGGACUGCUUUGGAAACUGUAUGGCUGGAGUGCAGGAGAGGUAAGUGGAAUUCCUAGUGUAGCGGUGAAAUGCGUAGAUAUUAGGAGGAACACCAGUGGCGAAGGCGGCUUACUGGACUGUAACUGACGUUGAGGCUCGAAAGCGUGGGGAGCAAACAGGAUUAGAUACCCUUGUAGUC